GGGGACAUAGUUCACUGGUAGAACAUGUGCUUAGCAUGCAUGAGGCCUUGGGUUCAAUCUCCCCA
rnacentral:tRNA from 1 species